rnacentral:misc_RNA from 1 species
UUUUUUUAAUUAUUUCUUUUUAUUAGUUGAUUUUUCUCGUAUUGCUGGAUUGUUUUAUUUUUUACCUUUAUAAUGAGAUUUAUUCUCUGAAAUGAUAGGGCUAUCCAUGUGAACAAAAUAAUUACACACAUAAGAUCAAUUCUUAAAAGGUGAAUAUCAUAAUAUGGGGUUUGCUAUUGUGAUCAUUUAUGGUUAUCUAAAACAAUGCUUUUCAUGGUUGCUAUUUUAGUUGCACUCAUGGGUCAACAAGUUCUAUUGAACUAAUCCUAGUAGCAUUUCAUUUGUAGGAUUAAUAAUUUAAUAUUGAAAAAGUAAUCUAUAGUUAAUGUUUAUAUUAUUACAAUUAAGUUUUUGAAGGACAGCAGAAUUUGGGAUUUGCUCUAGUGAUCAUUUGUGUUCAUCUUAAUUUAGUAAGCAAUAUUUUUGUGGUUGUUAUUUUUGUUG